UACGGAGGGUGCGAGCGUUAUCCGGAAUUACUGGGUUUAAAGGGUGCGUAGGCGGCCAAGUAAGUCAGGAGUGAAAGUUUGCGGCUCAACCGUAAAAUUGCUUUUGAAACUGCUAGGCUAGAAUUAGGAUGAGGUCAGCGGAAUGUGGCAUGUAGCGGUGAAAUGCAUAGAUAUGCCAUAGAACACCAAUUGCGAAGGCAGCUGGCUAGACCUAUAUUGACGCUGAGGCACGAAAGCGUGGGGAGCGAACAGG
rnacentral:rRNA from 1 species